AUUUUCAAUUAAUUUUAAAUUAACCUUUUGUUUAAAUUCUGGAAGGAUCGUGAAUGUCAAAGUUUACAAGAACUGAAAUUAUGUGUAUAUUUUGUCAGGAUUGUUCAUAAUGGUUAUAGCCAUAUUAUUUAUUUUUCAUCCGAUUCACUUGUAUUUAUAUCAUUCUGUAUCAGUUCAGAGGUUGUGGUCCAUGUUUAUAAAAGCCAUAUGGUUGUUAAUUUUAGAUCCUUCAUUGAAUAAUCAAAAAGUUCUAUUGAACUUUAAUAUUUUUUAUCAGAGUCAUUGGAACUCUUUUCAUAUCAAUCAGGUUCUUUUUCAGAACCCAUAUCAUAAUUUAUCAAGUUCAUAAUGCGUCAAUGUUUUGUGACAUUGAUCAAAAUUGCUAACAUGUUUGUCAGUUAUAUAUAUAUCUUGUAAGUAUAUAUAUAUGUGUGUGUAAAUAAAUAUGGUAUCUGUUUGCAGUGUGAAACAUUUAUCAUUUAAAAAAUGGAGUUGUAAUGUUAAAUUUUGUUGAUAUUGUGUGAGUUAAAAUCAAAAGAUGUUGUUUAUUAUAUAUAAUCUUGUUUUUUUUGUGACUAAUUACAUGCACAUGAUAAAAAAAAAUGGUUGUUUUGACACUUUUUGUUUUAGGAAAUAUUUAGUCUCUUUAUAUAUAUCGUGAGUGUUGUGUUUGAAAUUUCAAACUAAAAAUACAAUUAUGGAAUCUUGUAACAUAUGGAUAGUAGCUGUAAUGAUCUUUGAUUCAUGAAUUUAAUUUCAAAUGCAUAGGAGCAUCCUCUACCAGGGGAAACAGAGACUAAUUAAAGACCAGACUAAUAGAUUUUAAAAUCACUUAAUGUUAAAUAAUUUUAGAAUGCAAUCAAAAUACAAUUAUGCAAAUUUUAUGUUAAUAUUUAUAUAACAAAGUUCAAAAUGGUGACAAUCUUGUUUUGAAUACAAUUUUUGUUUAAGUGCCUUAGUGUGUUUUUCAAUGUGAUAUAUAUUUACUGGGUUAAGUUGAAUGAGAAAAAUGUGAUAUAUUUUUACUUUCGAUUUGGAUAUGUUCUUUAAACAUUCCAGAAUCUUGUUUUAAAGAAAUGUUUAAAGUAAGAUUAUUAGAAUAAUUCAGCAUGAAACAGAUUUAAUUUUAUGUGAUAGCUCUGGGGUUUUCUUUCUGAAAAGCUUGAUACAUAAUAACCCUCACAAUUAUAGUUCUGUGCUCUUUUCUAUUUCAAGUGUAACGUUGUUUUUUAUCAUAAAAGUAAAGCCUACAUCAUUUUAAAGUAUUCAUGAAUCAAAGAGCAUGAUAGCUGCUGGAAUUUCUCAGGAAUACAUGUAGGAUGUAUUGUUGACCGUGUCGUUUGUAGUCUGUCCCAGACAGAGCUAGUUUUACCAGGGAGGAACCAAUCAAAACAGUCUUAUUUUUGUUCAAGGUCAGUAGUUAGGAUGCUAAAAGUGUGUCAUUUCAAGUCUAUUUUUAGCUUUAAUUGAAAAGAAGAAACAUUUAGUAACUUUUUUGUUAGCUUUAAUUAAAUGCACAGGCAUAUUUGUUCUUUUACAUAAUCAGUUAUUUGUCUAACAGGGACCACUUUGCAAUAAAUGUUAUCCUGAGUGCCAAACAUUUACAUAGUAGAAUAGAAUGGCAAAUCAUAUCAAAAGUCUUUUUUUCUUUUUUUUUCCCUAAUGAAAAAUAUCAAUUUUACUCAAAACAAGUACCUCUUCUUUUAGUUAAACAUAAAUGCGCAUCCCUUGUAAAUGAAUUCAAGUAAUCACUCCUGGUUUUUAAAUCAGUUUAGGCCCCAACGUAACACAUGUUAAUGGGAUAGAAUAGGAAAUCACAAAAAUGUAGCAUUCCCAAACUAACACAAAAUCUUUCUUCUCUCCUUUGGUAUAUCAUAAAUGUUUUUAUGAAUUGUUCUAUUAGUGAUAUCUGCCUUCUGGUUUUUAAUCUUAAAACAUUUGUAUAUUAUCAUAUGCCAUUUAAGAAUUAUCUGUUAGUCAGUUUGUUUGUGUUCCCUGGACUUGAAGUGGCACAUUUGACCAUAUAUAUUAGUAAUAUUUUAAGUUUAUCAAGAGUCUCAAGUUUUGUUUUGGUGUUUUUUUUAACUUGGUUAGUUUUUGGUUGAUUUUGUUGUAUAUUAAUGUUUUUUUGUUUGCUCAGUUAAUCAGUAAGAUUGUAUAUGUAUAAUGCAAAUUCAGUCCCUUACAAGUUUAAAUUAGGUUGCCAGGUCCAACAUUUUUCUCAAUUCUAUACAUUUCACAAGUUACAUAUUUAAGUCAAGCCAUCAGGUACAGGAAUCGGUUUCACGAAUCAACUUUAGACUUAUUUAGAUUUAUUGUAAGUAUACUUAAUUGUUCAUGACUUGCAAUCAAUCUUAACUGUAAGUUUUUUUUUUGUGAAACAGACUCCUGGUCUGUAAGAUUUUCUAUCAAAUUUAAUAUGAUACUUGAUAAAUUAAAACUAGCAUGAUGUUGAUCAAUCAAUUUGUAUAAUUGACAUUUGUUGUGUAAUACAGUUGCAAAUUUGAAAAAAAAAAUUGAAAUAUGUAUACUUAGGAAGGACAACUCAAUAUUCCAGCCAACUUCAAUGAAACAUAAGGUGAAGAAAUGAGGAAAAUGAUGGAUCUGGUAGUUAGAUGUGAUUUGGUAAAUAUUUUUUUAAUGCACAACUUUAUUAUGUGAUAAGCUGUUUUAUUUAGGGUUGUUUAAAGAAAUAGAUAAAAUUAUUGUUUUUAUCAAAACUACAUAUCAAAUGAGUCUUGUUAAAUGUGUAUAUAUAGAUACUAUUGUGCUUUAACUUUCUAAUAAAAGAAAAACAAGACCAGCAUCAAAAAGUGCUUUAUUGUGCUGAAAUUGAAUUUUAGUUCUAUUUUGUCCAUAAUCUUUUGCUGCUAGCUACCACUAAUUACGUUUUUAAA
rnacentral:lncRNA from 1 species